ensembl:lncRNA
GGGGUCUAUAGGAGGCGAUUUGGGUUUGUGUUCAAAUUACUUCUUUCGUUCUUUUUGGUUAGCUUGAGUAAAAAAAUAAAUAAAGGCACCAUAUUUUAGGUUUAUGGCUGUUAGCGUAUACAAGCAGUGCUGCCUUUGUUGUACUACUAGCAUCCAGCCACUUGGUGGUGCUAGCAGACAAACAGCCCAACGGUCCCCAUUUACUGAAGUUGACAAACUGUUCCCAAAAUACUUUUUUCCCUGCUAUUCUGCGCACUUUAGUAGGAAAGGAAUCUGACUCAUCAGUUCUGAAAUGGCCUUGCUAGCCUCUGGUCCCAGUGAGCAGCAGCGACAAUAUGGAAUGGCAAUGUUUGGAUCCAGUCCUGCAGUCCAAUCGCCUCGGUUCAAUUUGCAUUUUGCAAGUUACAUUCAUUUAUAAUUCACGUUCGGGCACUGGAUAAAAAGCAAAAGCUAUUAUUGCUGAAUGAGGUUGAGUGAGGAGUGGCUUUAUUACCGGGAUAGAUAGACUUUCGAUGAACUCAUUUAAACUCACGAAAGAUCCUGCAAGUGUUUUUCAAAGCCGCAUUAAAGUUUAUAAGCAGCUGCACAGGUGUUUCCCCCGGAUUUAACUCGCCAACGCCCCAGUCCGCUUCAUCGCCACUCCGGUCCCCAUUGGCUCCUGCCGAAUUACCUUCAACUUCCUCCUCAAAUGCCCCCGUUUUCUCCACCCCUGCCCAAUUCCACUAGACUACCGCACUGGCCUGGGAGCUGUUUAAAACAGUAUUCAGUCGAUGCUGAGAAGAAGGGGGUAUAAACAACCGCACUGCUCCUGGCUCUUCUGAAGUGACGGUUCAUCGCUGCAAAUAAUGCACUCAAUUUGCAGGCAGUGGAAUGGCUGGUUAAGCAGCGCUCUGUGCCCGGCACUCGAUGCAGCGGCUGAGAACGUACGUGCUGAGAAGACCAAGUCGGAGAUACCAGAGAGGAACGCGAGGAGAUUGGAUCUUGGACCUCGGAUAGGGGGAGGACCAGAUCAUCAAAAGACCCGGUUGAAGAGGAACACCAUGCAGGCUCCGAUUGUUCCCAGAGGCUGAGGAGGAGACAUGCUGUGGUUUCCGUCAAAUAUGAAGCACUGAAAAACUUUUCCAUAACCCGCAUCAAGGCCAUAUCUCACAGUGGGAGGGAUGUGUUAGUAGCAGCUAUCCUAUUUAGAUCACACUGAAUCAGAUAACAUCGACCAUGUUCGACAGGCUCCCCUAUUUAGAACACACUGAAUCAGAUAACAUCGACCAUGUUCGACAGGCUCCCCUGUUCUGAUCUUUUUGGCUUUUUCACUAAUUGGUCUUUUGACCAGCUCUUUUAAAAAAAUUGCAAACCUUACCCGAUCGAUGAAAGGUCAGCCCAUUAGGCUAAUAUAAUAUCAGAAUACCAUCUCCUCCCUCCCAUCUCGCAUCUCCUCCCUCCCAUCUCGCAUCUCCCACCAGUGAAUGUGAUGGCUUGUGAACCAGAGGUGUAAUCGCUGGAGAAUAAUUGCUGUAACGGAAGACGCUGGAAACCACACUGUUCUAUGUUCAUCAUUUCCUUAAUACUCACACACAAGUGUCCAGUCUCUCUCUCUCUCUCUCUCUCUCUCUCACUCACUCACUCACUCACUCACUCACUCACUCAACAAACACAUGGUUGCUGGUUUGACACCUAGAGCCGAUGGGGUAGGGAGACAAAGCACUUAUAUGACGCACAUGCACAACUGUGUAACCAGAAAUGACAUCAGCCUUGUCUGAAUUAUUUAUUCCGAUCUGUUAUUAUUCCGUUAGCCACA